rnacentral:rRNA from 1 species
UGGGGAAUAUUGGACAAUGGGCGCAAGCCUGAUCCAGCCAUGCCGCGUGAGUGAUGAAGGCCUUAGGGUUGUAAAGCUCUUUCGCCGGCGAAGAUAAUGACGGUAACCGGAGAAGAAGCCCCGGCUAACUUCGUGCCAGCAGCCGCGGUAAUACGAAGGGGGCUAGCGUUGCUCGGAAUCACUGGGCGUAAAGCGCACGUAGGCGGAUCGUUAAGUCAGGGGUGAAAUCCUGGAGCUCAACUCCAGAACUGCCCUUGAUACUGGCGAUCUCGAGUUCGAGAGAGGUUGGUGGAACUCCGAGUGUAGAGGUGAAAUUCGUAGAUAUUCGGAAGAACACCAGUGGCGAAGGCGGCCAACUGGCUCGAUACUGACGCUGAGGUGCGAAAGCGUGGGGAGCAAAACAGGAUUAGAUACCCUGGUAGUCCACGCCGUAAAACGAUGGAUGCUAGCCGUUGGGGGGUUUACCUCUCAGUGGCGCAGCUAACGCCUUAAGCAUCCCGCCUGGGGAGUACGGUCGCAAGAUUAAAACUCAAAUGAA